rnacentral:ncRNA from 1 species
CUCUUCAGGGCAGGGUGUGAUUCCCUACCGGCGGUAAAGCCCGCGAGCAUUAGCAUGAUCCGGUGAGAUUCCGGGGCCGACAGUACAGUCUGGAUGAAAGAAUG